CCCUUAGACACUCUAGGCGGCACGCGCGCUACAAUGGGUGGAAGAACGUGUUACUGCCUCCGAAAGGAGGGGUGAAUCACGAAUUCUUGCCCGUGAAUGGGAUAGUUUGUUGCAAUUUUCGGACUUGAACUAGGAAUCCCUUGUAAACAUGCUCAAGAAUAGCGUGUUGAAUACGUCCCUGCCGUUUGUACACACCGCCCGUCGCUCCUACCGAUUGAGUGGUCCGGUGAGGCUUUGGGAUCUGAGCGGAAAGAGCGUUUCGCUGUUUCUGCCCGGAAAACUCAGUCGAACCUUAUCAUUUAGAGGAAGGAGAAGUCGUAACA
rnacentral:rRNA from 1 species